CAAUAGCGUAUAUUAACGUUGUUGCGGUUAAAAAGCUCGUAGUUGGAUUUAUGCGACACGCGUGCCCGGUCCGGCGAUUUUAUGCCGCGCACUGGGUGCGGUGCGCUUUUGUCGUUUUGCGUGGCGUUUCCGAUUGAUUUUGGUGCGCCAUUUGCGCUUGACGACGUUUACUGUGAACAAAUUGGAGCGCUCAAAGCAGGCCAUUGCCUUGCACACAUUAGCAUGGAAUAACCAUUUAGGACUGGAGUUUUAUUUAUUGGUGUAUAGAACUUAAGUAAUGGUUAAUAGGGACAGUUGGGGGCAUUAAUAUUUAAUUGCUAGAGGUGAAAUUCUUAGAUUUAUGAAAGAUUAACUACUGCGAAAGCAUUUGCCAAGGAUGUUUUCAUUAA
rnacentral:rRNA from 1 species